GACGAACGCUGGCGGCGUGCUUAACACAUGCAAGUCGAACGGAAAGGCCCUGCUUUUGUGGGGUGCUCGAGUGGCGAACGGGUGAGUAACACGUGAGUAACCUGCCCUUGACUUUGGGAUAACUUCAGGAAACUGGGGCUAAUACCGGAUAGGAGCUCCUGCUGCAUGGUGGGGGUUGGAAAGUUUCGGCGGUUGGGGAUUGACUCGCGGCUUAUCAGCUUGUUGGUGGGGUAGUGGCUUACCAAGGCUUUGACGGGUAGCCGGCCUGAGAGGGUGACCGGCCACAUUGGGACUGAGAUACGGCCCAGACUCCUACGGGAGGCAGCAGUGGGGAAUAUUGCACAAUGGGCGGAAGCCUGAUGCAGCAACGCCGCGUGCGGGAUGACGGCCUUCGGGUUGUAAACCGCAUUCGCCUGUGACGAAGCGUGAGUGACGGUAAUGGGUAAAGAAGCACCGGCUAACUACGUG
rnacentral:rRNA from 1 species